UGGCCAACAGCAACUCCAGCACGUUCACCACAGUGGAGAUGGGUGCUAUGGUGAGGAAAUCCAUGGCCACCGAGCUGGACCCAGAGUCAGCAUACAUCUUCUGGCUGAUGAUCAAGAUGAGGCAGGGCUGGGGGAGCCCCUAGAGGCCACUAUCAUCACCACUGAGAAGCGAGGUGGUGCUUCGAAACUAAGGUGACUGGACCUCGUUGGCAGCAUCCAACGCGUCUGGCCUCUGUCUCUUCAGUGCAGAUUCAAGUGCAAAAUAUACAGGAAUGUGACCUCUGUCAUCUCCCUGGUGGAUGUAUAUCACAGUUGCAGAGUCCCAGGCUGGCAGGAGAAGUGGGCGUGGUCACUGGGACAGCCCUCCGAAAUGGG